rnacentral:rRNA from 1 species
GCGCGAAAACUUUACAAUGCUGGCAACAGCGAUAAGGGAACCUCGAGUGCCAGGUUACAAAUCUGGCUGUCGAGAUGCCUAAAAAGCAUUUCAUAGCAAGGGCCGGGCAAGACCGGUGCCAGCCGCCGCGGUAACACCGGCGGCUCGAGUUGUAACCGUUAUUAUUGGGUCUAAAGGGUCUGUAGCCGGCCGGAUAAGUCUCUUGAGAAAUCUGGCAGCUUAACUGUCAGGCUUUCAGGAGAUACUGUCUGGCUCGAGGCCGGGAGAGGUGAGAGGUACUUCAGGGGUAGGGGUGAAAUCUUGUAAUCCUUGAAGGACCACCAGUGGCGAAGGCAUCUCACCAGAACGGACCUGACGGCAAGGGACGAAAGCUAGGGGCACGAACC